CGGAAAUCGUACGUAGAGUGUAAAGGCAAAAGAGAGCUUGAUUGCAAGACAUACAGGUCGAGCAAGGAUGAAAAUCGGACUUAGUGAUCCGGUGGUUCUGCGUGGAAGGGCCAUCGCUCAACGGAUAAAAGCUACCCUGGGGAUAACAGGCUUAUCUCCCCCAAGAGUCCACAUCGACGGGGAGGUUUGGCACCUCGAUGUCGGCUCAUCACAUCCUGGGGCUGUAGUAGGUCCCAAGGGUUGGGCUGUUCGCCCAUUAAAGUGGUACGCGAGCUGGGUUCAGAACGUCGUGAGACAGUUCGGUCCCUAUCCGUCGCAGGCGUAGGAAAUUUGAGAAGACCUGUCCUUAGUACGAGAGGACCGGGAUGGACGUACCUCUGGUGUACCAGUUGUCCUGCCAAGGGCAUGGCUGGGUAGCUAUGUACGGAAUGGAUAAGCGCUGAAAGCAUCUAAGCGCGAAGCCAACUUCAAGAUAAGAUUUCCCACCGCAAGGGUAAGACCCCAGAAAGACUAUCUGGUUGAUAGGUCGAAGGUGUAAGUGCAGCAAUGUAUUUAGCUUAUCGAUACUAAUAGGUCGAGGACUUGACCAAU
rnacentral:rRNA from 1 species